AAAUUCAUAGCACAUUGGAAACACCGCUUCUUGUCCGAUCACCGAAGUUAAGCAACGUCCUGUCCAGUCAGUACUUGGGAGGGUGACCACCUGGGAACACCGGGUGCUGUAGGCU